UACGGAGGGUGCGAGCGUUAAUCGGAAUCACUGGGCGUAAAGAGUUCGUAGGCUGUUUUGUAAGUUAGGGGUGAAAUCCCGCGGCUCAACCGCGGAACUGCCUUUAAAACUGCGAGGCUUGAGUGCGAGAGAGGGUGGCGGAAUUUCUGGUGUAGGAGUGAAAUCCGUAGAUAUCAGAAGGAACACCGGUGGCGAAGGCGGCCACCUGGCUCGUAACUGACGCUGAGGAACGAAAGCGUGGGUAGCAAACAGG
rnacentral:rRNA from 1 species